AGCUAAGCGGAACCACCUGAUCCCAUUUCGAAUUCAGAAGUGAAACGCUUAAGCGCCGACGAUAGUUGGUUCGCAAGGACCCGCGAAAA
rnacentral:rRNA from 1 species